CCAAAUAGAGGUGAAUUUUUGUUAAUAAUUUUAUUGGAUUAACCCUUCUUCUGUAAGUUUAAAUCUAGCUGAAAAUAUAAAUUACAUUUAAUGUAUAUAAACUCACAACAUUAAUUAAAAGCCCUUUAGUACAAAAAAUUUUUAGACUGGCUAACCUAGUUAAAGUAAAUAAAUGAUCCAUUAGGUGCCAGCAUUCGCGGUUACACCUAUAUUUGAUAUAUUAUUCAUGGCCCAGGAACAAAAACAUAUAUAAAAAAACUUUAGAAGUAAAAUUCUGAUUGUUUUCAAUAAAAUUAGCAAACCUUAAAAACUAACUAAUAAACAGGGAUUAGAUACCCCUUUAUAGAACACAAACUCACACCUAGGGUAGUAAACGCUAUUCAACUCCAAACCCAAAGAAUUUGGCGGCAAUCAACCUUUCCAGAGAGACCUGUUUAUUUAUUUGACAAUCCACAUUAAAUCUUACUUUUACUAAAACUUGCAUACCGUCAUCUAAAUUUUACCUUAAGGUAAACAUUUUAAAGAUAACAAAUAUGUUAGAUCAACGCGCAGUAUAUAUAAAAGCUACAUAUGGGUCUCAAUUUAAAACAAAUAGAAGAAACUUUAAUAAGUUUUUAAAAGAGGAUUUGGAUGUAAUAUCCUUUUAAAAUAAUAAUAUGAUUAAGCCAUUGAUUGUGUACAUAUCGCCCGUCGCCCUCGACCCGAGGUAAGUCGUAACAUAGUAGAAGUACUAGAAAGUGUUUCUUUAUUUAA
rnacentral:rRNA from 1 species